AAGGGGUGCCACCAUCAGGUGGCCGCAGAGAAUAGGCCCAAGCGACUGUUUACCAAAAACAUAGGUUUCUGCUAAGUCGCAAGACGAUGUAUAGGAGCUGACGCCUGCCCGGUGCUGGAAGGUUAAGGGGAUCUGUUAGAGUAAUCGAAGCAGUGAACUUAAGCCCCAGUAAACGGCGGCCGUAACUAUAACGGUCCUAAGGUAGCGAAAUUCCUUGUCGGGUAAGUUCCGACCCGCACGAAAGGCGUAACGAUUUGGGCACUGUCUCAACAACAGACUCGGUGAAAUUGUAAUUCCGGUGAAGAUGCCGGAUACCUGCGACAGGACGGAAAGACCCCAUGGAGCUUUACUGUAGCUUGACAUUGGGUCUUGGUACUACAUGUACAGGAUAGGUGGGAGGCUUUGAAACCAGGACGCCAGUUUUGGCGGAGCCAUCCUUGGGAUACCACCCUUGUAGUACUGGGACUCUAACCAUAGGCCAUGAAUCUGGUCUUGGGACACUGUCAGGUGGGCAGUUUGACUGGGGCGGUCGCCUCCCAAAAGGUAACGGAGGCGCUCAAAGGUUCUCUCAGUACGGUCGGAAAUCGUACGUAGAGUGUAAAGGCAAAAGAGAGCUUGAUUGCAAGACAUACAGGUCGAGCAAGGAUGAAAAUCGGACUUAGUGAUCCGGUGGUUCUGCGUGGAAGGGCCAUCGCUCAACGGAUAAAAGCUACCCUGGGGAUAACAGGCUUAUCUCCCCCAAGAGUCCACAUCGACGGGGAGGUUUGGCACCUCGAUGUCGGCUCAUCACAUCCUGGGGCUGUAGUAGGUCCCAAGGGUUGGGCUGUUCGCCCAUUAAAGUGGUACGCGAGCUGGGUUCAGAACGUCGUGAGACAGUUCGGUCCCUAUCCGUCGCAGGCGUAGGAAAUUUGAGAAGACCUGUCCUUAGUACGAGAGGACCGGGAUGGACG
rnacentral:rRNA from 1 species